UACAGGGGGUGCGAGCGUUAUUCGGAUUAAUUGGGCGUAAAGAGCGUGUAGGUUGUUUGUUAAGUCAGUUGUGAAAUCUCUUAGCUUAACUAAGAAAGUGCAACUGAUACUGGCAAGCUAGAGUGUCGAAGAGGAUAGCGGAAUUUCCGGUGUAGAGGUGAAAUUCGUAGAUAUCGGAAGGAACAUCAGUGGCGAAGGCGGCUAUCUGGUAGAUUUACUGACGCUGAGACGCGAAAGCAUGGGGAGCAAACAGG
rnacentral:rRNA from 1 species